GACGAACGCUGGCGGCGUGCCUAAUACAUGCAAGUAGAACGAGUUGCGAACAGGUGAGUAACGCGUGGUAACCUGCCUCAUCGCAGGGGAUAAAUAUUGGAAACGAUAGCUAAUACCGCAUAUCAUGAGAUGGACCUGCGUUUGAAUAGCGAGUUGGUGAGGUAAAGGCUCACCAAGGCGACGAUACAUAGCCGACCUGAGAGGUUGAACAGCCACACUGGAACUGAGACACGGUCCAGACUCCUACGGGAGGCAGCAGUGGGGAAUAUUGCACAAUGGGCGAAAGCCUGAUGCAGCCAUGCCGCGUGUGAAGAAGGCCUUCGGGUUGUAAAACACUUUCAGCGAGGAGGCGUUACUCGCAGAAGAAGCACCGGCUAACUCCGUGCCAGCAGCCGCGGUAAUAC
rnacentral:rRNA from 1 species